rnacentral:rRNA from 1 species
AACGAACGCUGGCGGCAUGCCUAAUACAUGCAAGUCGAACGAGAUCUUCGGAUCUAGUGGCGCACGGGUGCGUAACGCGUGGGAAUCUGCCCUUGGGUUCGGAAUAACAGUUAGAAAUGACUGCUAAUACCGGAUGAUGGCGUAAGUCCAAAGAUUUAUCGCCCAGGGAUGAGCCCGCGUAGGAUUAGCUAGUUGGUGAGGUAAAGGCUCACCAAGGCUACGAUCCUUAGCUGGUCUGAGAGGAUGAUCAGCCACACUGGGACUGAGACACGGCCCAGACUCCUACGGGAGGCAGCAGUAGGGAAUAUUGGACAAUGGGGGAAACCCUGAUCCAGCAAUGCCGCGUGAGCGAUGAAGGCCUUAGGGUUGUAAAGCUCUUUUACCCGGGAUGAUAAUGACAGUACCGGGAGAAUAAGCCCCGGCUAACUCCGUGCCAGCCGCCGCGGUUA